rnacentral:rRNA from 1 species
GGCAGACGAGGUAGUAACAGGUAGAAACCUCCCCCCAAGUCAGGAAUAAUCCGCCGAAAGGCGGACUAAUACUCGAUAGUCUCUACGGAGUAAAGUCGCAAGACGCUUGGGAAAGGGCCUGCCCAGUAUCAGCUAGUUGGUAGUGUAAUGGACUACCAAGGCUAUGACGCUUAGGGGAGCUGAGAGGCUGACCCCCACCGAUGGGACUGAGACACGGCCCAUACACCUACGGGUGGCUGCAGUCAAGAAUCUUCCACAAUGGACGAAAGUCUGAUGGAGCGACACCGCGUGAUGGAUGAAGUCCCUCUGGGACGUAAACAUCUUUUAUCGAGGAGAAAGUUUUGAUAGUACUCGAAGAAUAAGGGGUUGCUAAACUCGUGCCAGCAGCAGCGGUAAUACGAGUGCCCCAAGCGUUAUCCGGAAUCAUUGGGCGUAAAGGGUGUGUAGGUGGCGAUGUUAGUCUUCUGUGAAAUUCUUCGGCUCAACCGGGGGUCCGCAGGGGAAACGGCAUUGCUCGAGGAUGCGAGGGGUCAGUGGAACUCACGGAGUAGGGUG